GAGAGAGAGAGAAAGAAAGAAAGAAAAAGAAAGGAUAGAUAAAAUAGAUUAGAUGUGUAUGCAGUUUCAAGCUGUCCCCUUCCACCCUUAGCUAUCAGAUUCAUCAUGUAGCUAUAAAGAGAAUUGGGGUCAGUGGACAGAAAUGCCAAUGAGCCAGGUUCUAACUCAAUGUAACAAGAAAUUUCCUACCAACAAGAAUUGCCUGAUAGUAGAAGGGGUUGCUUUGAAAGAGAGAAGAUGCUUCAGCAGACACCAGAGCUGUAGGCUCCUCGGGCAUAGCAUUGAGUUCAACUUUCAGUGUUUGAAAUUAAAUGACUUCCAGCACUGAGCUCUGUGAUAGAUGGCAUUGCCCACUGAAGUUCUAUGAUACCAUUGCCCCCUGAAGUUCUAUGAUAGAUACCAUUGCCCCCUGAGGUUCUAUGAUACCAUUGAGCACUGAGGUUCUAUGAUAGAUGGCAUUGCCCACUGAAGUUCUAUGAUACCCUUGUACCCUGAGGUUCUAUGAUACCAUUGUGCACUGAAGUUCUAUGAUCGAUGGCAUUGCCCACUGAAGUUCUAUGAUACCAUUGUGCACUGAAGUUCUAUGAUAGAUACCAUUGCCCACUGAGGUUCUAUGAUACCAUUGUCCCCUGAGGUUCUAUGAUACCAUUGUGCACUGAAGUUCUAUGAUAGAUACCAUUGCCCACUGAGGUUCUAUGAUACCAUUGCCCCCUGAAGUUCUAUGAUAGAUACCAUUGCCCACUGAGGCUCUAUGAUACCAUUGUCCCCUGAGGUUCUAUGAUAGAUCCCAUUGCCCACUGAGGUUCUAUGAUACCAUUGCACAUCGAGGUUCUAUGAUAGAUCCCAUUGCCCACUGAGGUUCUAUGAUACCAUUGCACAUCGAGGUUCUAUGAUAGAUCCCAUUGCCCACUGAGGUUCUAUGAUACCAUUGCACAUCGAGGUUCUAUGAUAGAUCCCAUUGCCCACUGAGGUUCUAUGAUACCAUUGCACAUCGAGGUUCUAUGAUAGAUCCCAUUGCCCACUGAGGUUCUAUGAUACCAUUGUCCCCUGAGGUUCUAUGAUACCAUUGUGCACUGAAGUUCUAUGAUAGAUACCAUUGCCCACUGAGGUUCUAUGAUACCAUUGCCCCCUGAAGUUCUAUGAUAGAUCCCAUUGCCCACUGAGGCUCUAUGAUACCAUUGCCCCCUGAAGUUCUAUGAUAGAUACCAUUGCCCACUGACGUUCUAUGCUACCAUUGCCCACCGAGAUUCUAUACCAUUGCCCACCAAGGUUCUAUAACACCAUUGCCCACUGAGAUUCUAUGAUAGAUACCAUUGCAUAACAAGUGCUAAGCUAGGCUCAAUGAGAGCAAGAAUACGGGGGAUGAAAGGAGGAUACGAAAGCAUCGUAGCCUGCAAGACUUUCCCUCUGGGGUGCAGUCAUUCAUUCAGGAAACAUCAGUUAGGGAGAUUUCAUUGGAAUAGGAGCUCAGCUCAUUGAAGACAGUCAGAGCAGGCUUUACGGAAAAGAAGGUAGCUGAGCUUGAUCCUAAAGGAUGAGCAGGUUUGUGGUUGGCAAAUGGGAGCAGAAAGCAGUUGGGAGGGAACAUGCACACAUACUCACAUGCACACACAUCUAAAGCCAUCUACACACACAUAUAUCACUAUCUCUACAUAUGCACACAGAGAGAGCCCCUCCAGCUUGGAAGGGAUACAUCCGAGUCAUCUGGUCCAGUCUUUUAGCUCAUGCAUUCAUCCCACUUGCCAUGUUCCCAGUCAGGGGUGUUCUGUAUGAAUACAUCCAGUGAUAGGGAAGCUCAGUCUCAAGACACCGUCUAUUCCGGUUUUGCACCAUUUUCCUUAUUUUUUUCUUUAUUGAGAAGCAAUCUGCUUCUCACUCUCUGGCUCACUCUCGCUCUUCUAGCCCGGGUGAAACAGAACAGAAGUGCUCCUUUCCGCACUCGCCUGACCCCCACCCCUUUGAAGGCAGCAGCCAGACUCCACUUUGACUAGAGUGUGCUUCUCUAGGUUCGUAUCUUCAGUUCCCCCCAAUCUGACAUGUUCUGGAGCUUUCACGGUCCGGGCCACCCUUCCUUGUCCACGGUUCAAUUUUCCAAGUUCCUCCUAAUGAUGGGCCCCAAAGCUGAACAGAACUGCAGAUGUGUCUGGACGGGGCAGAAUACAACUGGA